rnacentral:rRNA from 1 species
UACCAGCACCCCGAGUGGUCGGGACGUUUAUUGGGCCUAAAGCAUCCGUAGCCGGUUCUACAAGUCUUCCGUUAAAUCCAGCUGCUUAACAGAUGGGCUGCGGAAGAUACUAUGGAGCUAGGAGGCGGGGGAGGCAAGCGGUACUCGAUGGGUAGGGGUAAAAUCCGUUGAUCCAUUGAAGACCACCAGUGGCGAAGGCGGCUUGCCAGAACGCGCUCGACGGUGAGGGAUGAAAGCUGGGGGAGCAAACGGG